rnacentral:rRNA from 1 species
AACGAACGCUGGCGGCAGGCCUAACACAUGCAAGUCGAACGCACCGCAAGGUGAGUGGCGCACGGGUGAGUAACACGUGGGAAUGUACCCUUUGGUUCGGAAUAACGUUUGGAAACGAACGCUAAUACCGGAUGAGCCCUGUGGGGGAAAGAUUUAUCGCCAAAGGAGCAGCCCGCGUCUGAUUAGCUAGUUGGUGGGGUAAAGGCCUACCAAGGCGACGAUCAGUAGCUGGUCUGAGAGGAUGAUCAGCCACACUGGGACUGAGACACGGCCCAGACUCCUACGGGAGGCAGCAGUGGGGAAUAUUGGACAAUGGGCGGAAGCCUGAUCCAGCCAUGCCGCGUGAGUGAUGAAGGCCUCGGUUGUAAGUCUCUUUCGUCACGCGACGAUGAUGACGGUAGCGUGAGAGAAGCCCGGCUAACUUCGUGCCAGCAGCCGCGGUAAU